rnacentral:rRNA from 1 species
UACUAGAGUAGCACUCGCAUAUCAAUAAGCGGAGGAAAAGAAACUAACAAGGAUUCCCCUAGUAACGGCGAGUGAAGCGGGAAGAGCUCAAAUUUGAAAUCUUCAAGGUUCUACCUUGACGAAUUGUAGUUUAUAGAAGUGUUUUCUGUUAGUAGAGUGGCAAAAGUUCUUUGGAAUAGGACAUCAUAGAGGGUGAGAAUCCCGUAUUUGGUCAUUCUUUCUAGCUUUGUGAUACACUUUCAACGAGUCGGAUUGUUUGGGAAUGCAGUCCAAAAUGGGUGGUAAAUUUCAUCUAAAGCUAAAUAUUGGCGAGAGACCGAUAGCGAACAAGUACCGUGAGGGAAAGAUGAAAAGAACUUUGAAAAGAGAGUUAAACAGUACGUGAAAUUGUCAAAAGGGGAGCGUUUGACACCAGUGUUGUUUUUCCGAAAAUCAAUUACGAAUGUUUUAUUUUUGAGGAGUUAUGACUUCAUCGGCUUGCUCCUUUCUUUAUGAAACUUUCUUAAUGCACUUUUCGGUUAACAAGUCAACAUCAAUUUCUUUUGUUGUAAAAGGGUAUGAGGAAGGUGGCUUUCUUUUCGGAGAAAGUGUUUAUAGCCUUGUGCCUCUGCAAUCGGAGAGAUUGAGGUCUGCAGCGUAGAUCCUUCGGGGUUAGAUACAUUUGUGCUAAGUUAUAGCUUUUCAUAGACAACUUGUUGACUAUGUUAAGUCUUGUAGCUUACUCGCUUAUGCUAUUUUACCUACGCUUAGGAUGUUGAAGAUGUAGCACAUCAU